rnacentral:rRNA from 1 species
UGGGGAAUAUUGGACAAUGGGGGCAACCCUGAUCCAGCCAUGCCGCGUGUGUGAAGAAGGCCUUUUGGUUGUAAAGCACUUUAAGCAGGGAGGAGAGGCUAAUGGUUAAUACCCAUUAGAUUAGACGUUACCUGCAGAAUAAGCACCGGCUAACUCUGUGCCAGCAGCCGCGGUAAUACAGAGGGUGCGAGCGUUAAUCGGAAUUACUGGGCGUAAAGCGAGUGUAGGUGGCUCAUUAAGUCACAUGUGAAAUCCCCGGGCUUAACCUGGGAACUGCAUGUGAUACUGGUGGUGCUAGAAUAUGUGAGAGGGAAGUAGAAUUCCCAGGUGUAGCGGUGAAAUGCGUAGAGAUCUGGAGGAAUACCGAUGGCGAAGGCAGCUUCCUGGCAUAAUAUUGACGCUGAGAUUCGAAAGCGUGGGUAGCAAACAGGAUUAGAUACCCUGGUAGUCCACGCCGUAAACGAUGUCUACUAGCCGUUGGGUCCUUGAGACUUUAGUGGCGCAGUUAACGCGAUAAGUAGACCGCCUGGGGAGU